UCAUAUUUGCUAUUGUGCAUAAAUAAAAACAGAGAAAGAGAAGAAGAAGGAAAGGAAGAAUGAAAGAAAGGAAGAAUGAAAGAAAGAAAGAAGAAAGGAAAAGAAGGGAGAGAGAGAAAGGAGUUCAGUAGCCCUCUACUGUUGCUGCAUCUGCUAUUAUGAGUGCUAUUGCUGCCAUGCAUGCACUCCCUUGUGCUAUUCACAGUAAGAGGAUGCUGCCAAGAUGUUGCUCCAGUUGGGACUUGGAAUUCAGAGUUGCAUGGCUGAUGAUAGAGUUGCCUACAUACCCCCGAGAAAACAAGAGAGAUAAUAAAUUCCAACCCGACCCAGUGGAUUGAGCUAGGGAACCUGAUAUGUAUACCUGGUGAGGAUUCGCGAGAUCGGAAAUUUAGUGAAAGACACCAGAAUUGGGAAUUUCAGAACAUGAAAUGGCAGCGAAAACUUUAACUCAAAGAUCCCCUGGAAUUAAUGCAGCCGGUUGAAAAAUGAAGCCUUUUGCAUAUGGUCAUGAAGGAUGAAAGAUUGUAGAGCUUUUAGCUAUAAUAUCAAGCAGAACAUUUCGUUGAAAUUUUCUAAAUGGAACUGUGUACAUAUUAUUUACUAAUGGUUCGCAAUAUAAACUGGCCAUGAAUUAUGAAGUAUGUCUAUGAUAUGUGUUUGCCAUAAGUAGGUUCAGGACAUUGUGUCUCUUGCUUUCAUCCUAGCGAAUGAACAGGCCCUGAGAGUUUGGUGUAUUUUGUAUAUUGAGAAAUAAAUUGUAUAUUCUGUUUUCUUUU